rnacentral:rRNA from 1 species
UACGUAGGGGGCAAGCGUUGUCCGGAAUCAUUGGGCGUAAAGAGCGUGUAGGCGGCCCGAUAAGUCCGCUGUGAAAGUCCAGGGCUCAACCCUGGGAUGCCGGUGGAUACUGUCGGGCUCGAGUCCGGAAGAGGAGUGUGGAAUUCCUGGUGUAGCGGUGAAAUGCGCAGAUAUCAGGAGGAACACCAAUGGCGAAGGCAGCACUCUGGGACGUGACUGGACGGCUGAAGACGCGAAAGCGUGGGGAGCAAACAGG